GGGAAGUGCAGGCCCUGCCGGUCCAAGUCCCCACGAAGGCGCGAGCCCAGCAUUGACCUGCUGCAGGCCUUCGUGGAGCACUGGAAGGGCAUCACGCACUACUACAUCGAGAGCACAGGUAACCUGCCCAGUCGUUCAGAAUUGGAGCCGAGUUCACGGAGACAGAGAACCAGACAGACAGAAGACCCAGAGCCCUGGGCCACUCCACUCCUGAUGAUUUAGCUGCCGGUCCCACUCUGACCUUUUGGAAAGAGGCUGUGUGAGGAAGGAGUAGCCUGGUUGGGGGUCUCACUGGCCUGACUCUGCAAGGAAGAGGUGGCUGCACUUCCCCCAGCUUCCAGCUCCAGACCUUCAGGCCCCAGGUGCUUGUGCCUAGGAUUUAAUGAUCAAAAGAAAAGAAUUUAAUAAAUUCCCCUUUCCCCUGAGCCAGCUUAGGGGCAAUGUCCUUGUAGAGAUCUGGGGUAGGAGGAGAACGAAAACCAAGGUGGGUAACAUGCCUGGGUCCCUCUCUCCAAGCUGACACCCCAAAGAGCCAAAGCCUUGGCACCUGGUCCCAUCAGGACCGCUCACUGAGGGGAUGGCAUCUGAGUGGCUGCUCUGCAGUCAUGAGGCUGCCAUGGGUGGAUACGGACUGGUUGCCAGGUAACCAUAUCCUGCAUCCCUCACUUUUCCCUUCCUGGAGUUCAUACUGGGGCUUGAUCCCAGCCCACACCUUUCCUACAGGCUUUCUUUCCAGCCCGGGCCAGCCCAGGAAAUUCAGAAAUCUGUGGGACCCUCUGAGGGUUCUGCUAGACCAGGUUUCUCAAUCUUGGCACAGUUGGCAUUGGACCUGGAGCCUUCCCUGCGCGGGGCUGUCCUGGGCGGUGUGGGAUGUGCAGCAGUAAUUCUGGCCUCUACCCACUAGGUGCCAGUAGCACACCCCACCCCCGAAUUGGGACAACCAGGAAGGUCUCCAGACAUUGCCUCAUGUUCCCUGGGGGGGAAAAGCGCACCCCUGGUUCUGAACCUAUCUCUUCAGGUUAAAGAUCUCUUGAAGGAGAGCCUCAGUCCACCAGCUCAGUAAGAUCAGAUCAGAACUGGCUGAAAUUCACCUGGGGCUUCCCCCAUCCAGCCCUUUCAUUUCCAGAAUGGUCCCUAGACCAGAAGGGUUGGAAGUGCGUGGGGCAGGCCGCCCUACUCAAGCUCCUGUUCCUUAAAGGAAAGCUAGGGGGUGCUCCAAGUCUAGCCCUGAAGCACCAGAACUUUCUUUAAAACACACACUGAGACUCUGACUGCAAAAGCCCCCACUAAGUAGCUUCCCCGUCAGGGCGUUGGUACAGGGAGCAGGACUGGGUCAGACCUGAAGGUGGUGGCACAGAUGUUUUUUUCUGCUUUGUGAAAAACAGAGGCUUGCCUUCUCUGAGUGUCAGUGGGGGAGGCCCCAGGAGGUUCUCUCUCAGGCAGCUGCUGGAAUUACAGCUUCUAAGUUAUGUGACAAGAGCCCUGAGCCCACAGUGUCCACUCAGGCCCAGAGCUGACAGCAGCCUUCUGUGGGCCCAGGACCAUGUGUCCCUGUCUCUGUACCCAUCCUAGGGUUUGAAGGAAACCGAUGCUGCUGCCCCCUGAUAAAGGGCUGGGCAUGCAUGCGUUCUCAGAGGACUGUGUCCUGAGCCUGGA
rnacentral:lncRNA from 1 species